rnacentral:lncRNA from 1 species
CAACAGUCGCAGCAGAAUAUAAACCAGAGUAAAUUCAAAUAUACAUGUUAUGAAUAAAUAAAUUACAUCAAAAUAGAUGCAUCUCAAAAAUCCCAACAAACGGGUAAUCUCCAACAAAACAGAAACCAAAGUAAAAGAUAAUCUAGACCGACACAACUAAGCCUAGAUCAGAGCCGACUAAACAUCUAAACACCGAUAUCGGAGAAAGCUC